rnacentral:tRNA from 1 species
GCCUUCGUGGUGUAAUGGUCAGCACGCUCGACACCUAUUCGAGAGAUCUGAGUUCGAGUCCCCGAGAGGGCA